GGUCCGUUGGUCAAGGGGUUAAGACACCGCCCUUUCACGGCGGUAACAGGGGUUCGAAUCCCGUACGGACUA
rnacentral:tRNA from 1 species